rnacentral:snoRNA from 1 species
GAUAUGAUGAUUGACGUAACAUCACAGACUUGACGAACCCGGAGCAAGAAA